GAUGAACGCUAGCGGCAGGCCUAACACAUGCAAGUCGAGGGGUAACAGAAGAGAGCUUGCUUUCUUGCUGACGACCGGCGCACGGGUGCGUAACGCGUAUGCAACCUACCUCUUACAGGGGAAUAGCCCUAAGAAAUUGGGAUUAAUACUCCAUAGUAUAUAUUAUUCGCAUGGAUAUUGUAUUAAAGGUAACGGUAAGAGAUGGGCAUGCGUCCCAUUAGCUAGAUGGUAAGGUAACGGCUUACCAUGGCAACGAUGGGUAGGGGGCCUGAGAGGGUGAUCCCCCACACUGGUACUGAGACACGGACCAGACUCCUACGGGAGGCAGCAGUGAGGAAUAUUGGUCAAUGGAGGCAACUCUGAACCAGCCAUGCCGCGUGCAGGAAGAAUGUCCUAUGGAUUGUAAACUGCUUUUAUUUGUGAAUAAACCUAGGUACGUGUACCAAGCUGAAUGUAGCAAAUGAAUAAGCACCGGCUAACUCCG
rnacentral:rRNA from 1 species